rnacentral:misc_RNA from 1 species
GAAAUGCGAUACGUAAUGUGAAUUGCAAAUUCAGUGAAUCAUCGAGUCUUUGAACGCACAUUGCGCCCCCUGGUAUUCCGGGGGGCAUGCCUGUCCGAGCGUCAUUUCUGCCCUCAAGCACGGCUUGUGUGUUGGGCCCCGUCCUCCGAUCCCGGGGGACGGGCCCGAAAGGCAGCGGCGGCACCGCGUCCGGUCCUCGAGCGUAUGGGGCUUUGUCACCCGCUCUGUAGGCCCGGCCGGCGCUUGCCGAUCAACCCAAAUUUUUAUCCGGGUUGACCUCGGAUCAGGUAGGGAUACCCGCUGAACUUAAGC